rnacentral:rRNA from 1 species
AUACGCCCGCUGGCCGCGAAAC